rnacentral:rRNA from 1 species
GAUGGGUUGUUGCUGGCUUCUAGGAGCAUGUGCACGCCUGUCAUCUUUAUCCAUCCACCUGUGCACCUUUUGUAGACUUGGAAGUGAUGAGCGUGAAAUUAGUAGCGCGAGUUUCUCUAGGUCUAUGUUUUUCAUAUACCACAUACAAUGUAUCAGAACGUUUCAUUGGGCCUCUGUGCCUAUAAAACACUAUACAACUUUCAGCAACGGAUCUCUUGGCUCUCGCAUCGAUGAAGAACGCAGCGAAAUGCGAUAAGUAAUGUGAAUUGCAGAAUUCAGUGAAUCAUCGAAUCUUUGAACGCACCUUGCGCUCCUUGGCAUUCCGAGGAGCAUGCCUGUUUGAGUGUCAUUUAAUUCUCAAUCCCCUCCAGCUUUUGUGGUUGGUUAGGUGGAUUGGAUGUGGGGGUAUAUACUUGUGCGGGCCUCUAAAGAGGUCAGCUCCCCUGAAAAGCAUUAGCGGAACCGUUUGCGGAACCCGUCACUGGUGUGAUAAUUAUCUAUGCCAAAGACGACUGCUCUCAUAGUUCAGCUUCUAAUCGUCCUUUCACUUGGACAAUAAUAUAACUGAAUGCUUGACCUCAAAUCAGGUAGGACUACCCGCUGAACUUAAGCAUAUCAAUAAGCGGAGGAAAAGAAACUAACAAGGAUUCCCCUAGUAACUGCGAGUGAAGCGGGAAAAGCUCAAAUUUAAAAUCUGGCGGUAUUGGCCGUCCGAGUUGUAAUCUAGAGAAGCGUCACCCGCGCUGGACCGUGUACAAGUCUCCUGGGAUGGAGCGUCAUAGAGGGUGAGAAUCCCGUCUCUGACACGGACUACCAGGGCUUUGUGGUGCGCUCUCAAAGAGUCGAGUUGUUUGGGAAUGCAGCUCUAAAUGGGUGGUAAAUUCCAUCUAAAGCUAAAUAUUGGCGAGAGACCGAUAGCGAACAAGUACCGUGAGGGAAAGAUGAAAAGAACUUUGGAAAGAGAGUUAAACAGUACGUGAAAUUGCUGAAAGGGAAACGCUUGAAGUCAGUCGCGUUAGUCAGGGAUCAGCCUCGCUCUUGCGUGGUGUACUUCCUGGUUGACGGGUCAGCAUCAAUUUUGACCGCUGGAAAAGGAUUUGGGGAAUGUGGCAUCUUCGGAUGUGUUAUAGCCUCUUGUCGCAUACAGCGGUUGGGAUUGAGGAACUCAGCACGCCGCAAGGCCGGGUUUCGACCACGUUCGUGCUUAGGAUGCUGGCAUAAUGGCUUUAAUCGACCCGUCUUGAAACACGGACCAAGGAGUCUAACAUGCCUGCGAGUGUUUGGGUGGAAAACCCGAGCGCGUAAUGAAAGUGAAAGUUGAGAUCCCUGUCGUGGGGAGCAUCGACGCCCGGACCAGAACUUUUGGGACGGAUCUGCGGUAGAGCAUGUAUGUUGGGACCCGAAAGAUGGUGAACUAUGCCUGAAUAGGGUGAAGCCAGAGGAAACUCUGGUGGAGGCUCGUAGCGAUUCUGACGUGCAAAUCGAUCGUCAAAUUUGGGUAUAGGGGCGAAAGACUAAUCGAAC